rnacentral:tRNA from 1 species
CGUUAGCUCAAUUGGUAGAGCAGCUGACUCUUAAUCAGUUGGUUGAAGGUUCGAGUCCUUCACGGC